rnacentral:rRNA from 1 species
CGGGGUGAGUAACACGUGAGCAACCUGCCUUUCAGAGGGGGACAACAGUUGGAAACGACUGCUAAUACCGCAUAAAAUAACGGAACCGCAUGAUUCUGUUAUCAAAGGAGAAAUCCGCUGAAAGAUGGGCUCGCGUCUGAUUAGAUAGUUGGUGAGGUGACGGCCCACCAAGUCGACGAUCAGUAGCCGGACUGAGAGGUUGAACGGCCACAUUGGGACUGAGACACGGCCCAGACUCCUACGGGAGGCAGCAG